rnacentral:lncRNA from 1 species
UCCCACAUCGGAUGGGUUACUGAUUCCGAUCAGUUUAUAUGAGAUCUAUAUGUUAGUAAUAAUAACUGGGCUUAAGUAUUUUGGGCUGGUGGUUUGGGCCCAACGAGUUAUUGUUGCUAACGGGUCGGGUCGUUGUAAUUAGUAUUAGAGACGAAUACUAGUCGAAAGUGUAAGAACUAAGCACUAUGCAGGACAGAACUAAGCACUAUGCAGGACAAAAUGCUAUAUCAACGGAUUUGGUGGGAGCUACCUCUUGAAUCCGUAGGAGCCAUCUCUAGAAUAUCACAUAGUGACAGAACUAAGCACUAUGCAGGACAAAGUGCUAUAUCAACGGAUUUGGUGGGAGCUACCUCUUGAAUCCGUAGGAGCCAUCUCUAGAAUCUCACAUUGCCUGGUAAUGGUCCUGGUCUGUCUGUCUAUCUGUGAUCUGGUUUGGACCCGACGAAGACGUCAAGGUCUGAUGGGAGACUGAUUUCCAUCAGUUUAUAUGAGGCCUACACGCUAGUAAUAAUAACUAGGCUUAAGCAUUUUGGGCCGGUGGUUUGGGACCAACGAGUUAUUGUUACUAGCGGGUCGGGUCGUUACACGAGGUCCAUGUGAUGUAGCUGAAAA